GACGAACGCUGGCGGCGUGCUUAACACAUGCAAGUCGAACGGAAAGGCCCUGCUUUUGUGGGGUGCUCGAGUGGCGAACGGGUGAGUAACACGUGAGUAACCUGCCCUUGACUUUGGGAUAACUUCAGGAAACUGGGGCUAAUACCGGAUAGGAGCGCCUGCUGCAUGGUGGGGGUUGGAAAGUUUCGGCGGUUGGGGAUGGACUCGCGGCUUAUCAGCUUGUUGGUGGGGUAGUGGCUUACCAAGGCUUUGACGGGUAGCCGGCCUGAGAGGGUGACCGGCCACAUUGGGACUGAGAUACGGCCCAGACUCCUACGGGAGGCAGCAGUGGGGAAUAUUGCACAAUGGGCGGAAGCCUGAUGCAGCAACGCCGCGUGCGGGAUGACGGCCUUCGGGUUGUAAACCGCUUUCGCCUGUGACGAAGCGUGAGUGACGGUAAUGGGUAAAGAAGCACCGGCUAACUACGUGCCAGCAGCCGCGGUGAUACGUAGGGUGCGAGCGUUGUCCGGAUUUAUUGGGCGUAAAGGGCUCGUAGGUGGUUGAUCGCGUCGGAAGUGUAAUCUUGGGGCUUAACCCUGAGCGUGCUUUCGAUACGGGUUGACUUGAGGAAGGUAGGGGAGAAUGGAAUUCCUGGUGGAGCGGUGGAAUGCGCAGAUAUCAGGAGGAACACCAGUGGCGAAGGCGGUUCUCUGGGCCUUUCCUGACGCUGAGGAGCGAAAGCGUGGGGAGCGAACAGGCUUAGAUACCCUGGUAGUCCACGCUGUAAACGGUGGGUACUAGGUGUGGGGUCCAUUCCACGGGUUCCGUGCCGUAGCUAACGCUUUAAGUACCCCGCCUGGGGAGUACGGCCGCAAGGCUAAAACUCAAAGGAAUUGACGGGGCCCCGCACAAGCGGCGGAGCAUGCGGAUUAAUUCGAUGCAACGCGUAGAACCUUACCUGGGUUUGACAUGGAUCGGGAGCGCUCAGAGAUGGGUGUGCCUCUUUUGGGGUCGGUUCACAGGUGGUGCAUGGCUGUCGUCAGCUCGUGUCGUGAGAUGUUGGGUUAAGUCCCGCAACGAGCGCAACCCUUGUUCACUGUUGCCAGCACGUUAUGGUGGGGACUCAGUGGAGACCGCCGGGGUCAACUCGGAGGAAGGUGGGGAUGACGUCAAGUCAUCAUGCCCCUUAUGUCCAGGGCUUCACGCAUGCUACAAUGGCUGGUACAGAGAGUGGCGAGCCUGUGAGGGUGAGCGAAUCUCGGAAAGCCGGUCUCAGUUCGGAUUGGGGUCUGCAACUCGACCUCAUGAAGUCGGAGUCGCUAGUAAUCGCAGAUCAGCAACGCUGCGGUGAAUACGUUCCCGGGGCU
rnacentral:rRNA from 1 species